UGCCAACAUCCUUCCCCAUUCACGCCCCACUUUUUCAUGUAACAAACUUCCUCCACACCUAAAAAAAAGGCUAAUGCCCUCUCCUCCUUUAAUUCUUACAUGCCCAACUUCCUCCAUGCCUAAAUAAACCUCUUUAGCACCCCUCCUCUCUUUCUUUCCAUAUCCAAACUAAUUCCUAACACCCACACCCUCUCUCUCAUCUUUGUUUUAGUGCACAACUUCUUUCUUUCUAAUGCCUUAUAUCUUUUUGUUGGGGUAGAUCUCUCAAUUGCAGAAUACGGAUCACCCACCC
rnacentral:lncRNA from 1 species